ACUAGCUCUCUUUUUGUCCCGCCACCAGCCUCCACCUUGCCCACCAGACCUACGCCCCUCCACGCCCACCAGAUCGAUGCCCCUCCGCGCUCCAUGGCCAUCGUUCCUCAUCCUCUUCCGUUCGCCUCGGCUGGUCCCGACGCCGGCAAGGAGGGCCGCAAUGUUAGCGGAUCUGGCAAUGUUGCCACGGUCGCUUCUCCUGUUCGAUGCAGGAGGCAUUGGCAUCGGAUCUUGCCCCUCCUUGCUUGUCAGUGCUCGUCGCUGGCGUCCCGCUUUAGAGUCGAAAUCUCUUGUCUUGUCCCCACCGCGCCCAUGACACACAUCAUCCUCCCCGCCUCCGCCAUGAUGACCACCAACUGUGUCGCUCCCGUCGCCGCAUUGAAGAGGGGCGCCUUCACCGUCUUCCUCGUUGUUCUAUCCAUCAUCCAGGCCCUCAGGAACCUGGGGUAGCCGUCGUACAUAGAGAGAGUGGAUUGGAGCAAUUUGCAGGACCAUGCAGAUAGUAACUACAAGCUCGUCCCUUAAUGAUCUAGCCUGCACUGUCCAGGUUGUAUGCUUCUGUUGACAUUUCUGCCAGGAUGUUCUACAAUAGGGCUACUCGGAAGUAGAGGGAAUAAGAUGCUUCGUGUCUCAUUUUAAUUUAAAUCCAUGUGAUAGAUCAAGUUUUGCGUGAACUUUUUGGCCAUGACUUGUUGUUCUUAGUUGUGUAGAGGAGUCGACAGAUGAUGUAUAUUAUAUUUUUUGUGAUACAUGGUGCAGAAAUGAAGAUGUAUUUCAUUUGUAAAUAUUAGAUUUUAGCUUGCAUUUCAUCA